GACGUAGGGCGCGAGCGUUGUCCGGAUUUAUUGGGCGUAAAGAGCGUGUAGGCGGCUAGAUAGGUCCGUUGUGAAAACUCGAGGCUCAACCUCGAGACGUCGAUGGAAACCAUCUGGCUAGAGUCCGGAAGAGGAGAGUGGAAUUCCUGGUGUAGCGGUGAAAUGCGCAGAUAUCAGGAAGAACACCUAUGGCGAAGGCAGCUCUCUGGGACGGUACUGACGCUGAGACGCGAAAGCGUGGGGAGCGAACAGG
rnacentral:rRNA from 1 species